rnacentral:lncRNA from 1 species
AUAAAAUCAUUUCAUUUAUUUAAUUAAUUUUAAAAAAUAGAAAUACAAAUUUAGUAGUCGCCGAACUGCUGUCGCUAAAAACUGCGCAUGAGACGUCAUUGUCUGUACCGUUGGAGUCACCGGUCGACAAUAAACACAGUUUUAAUGUCACACAAGCGAAAAAAAAUGAAUCUAUCUUCCUCAAACCCAGUUAGCAGAAUUUGAAAACUUUCUAACUAUCUUAGAUCCGGACAAACAUCAAAUAUUUAGACCAAAUAAGUUGUUUCAAUCUAUAGAUCGUCAAAUUCUGAUAAUUUUUAUUUAAUUCUCAAGUUGAAAUGACAUGCUAUAGUGGUGGCCGGCGGCAAGACGCGGCGACUCCGGCUAUGGCAACUCUUUUUUUUAGU